rnacentral:rRNA from 1 species
AGAGUUUGAUCCUGGCUCAGGAUGAACGCUAGCGGGAGGCCUAAUACAUGCAAGUCGAACGCUCUGAUUUCGGUCAGGGAGUGGCGCACGGGUGAGUAACACGUACGCAAUCUGCCUUGUGCAGGAGGAUAGCCCUGGGAAACUGGGCGUAAUACUCCAUGGUAUUGUCCAAUUGCAUGAUUGGAUAAUUAAAGCUACGGCGGCACGAGAUGAGCGUGCGUCUGAUUAGGUAGUUGGUGAGGUAACGGCUCACCAAGCCGACGAUCAGUAAGGGGCGUGAGAGCGCGGCCCCUCACACGGGUACUGAGACACGGACCCGACUCCUACGGGAGGCAGCAGUAAGGAAUAUUGGACAAUGGGCGGAAGCCUGAUCCAGCCAUCCCGCGUGCAGGAUGACGGCCCUAUGGGUUGUAAACUGCUUUAGACUGGAAAGAAAGUUGCGGAUUUAUCUGUAAUUGACGGUACCAGUAGAAUAAGCACCGGCUAACUCCGUGCCAGCAGCCGCGGUAAUACGGAGGGUGCAAGCGUUAUCCGGAAUUACUGGGUUUAAAGGGUGCGUAGGCUGCUAUGUAAGUCAGAGGUGAAAGCCCGCCGCUUAACGGUGGAAUUGCCUUUGAUACUGCAUAGCUUGAAACAGGUUGAGGUUGGCGGAAUGUGACAUGUAGCGGUGAAAUGCAUA